rnacentral:rRNA from 1 species
GAUGAACGCUGGCGGCGUGCCUAAUACAUGCAAGUAGAACGCUGAAGGAGGAGCUUGCUCUUCUGGAUGAGUUGCGAACGGGUGAGUAACGCGUAGGUAACCUGCCUGGUAGCGGGGGAUAACUAUUGGAAACGAUAGCUAAUACCGCAUGACAACAGUUAUUGCAUGAUAACUGUUUAAAAGGGGCAACUGCUCCACUACCAGAUGGACCUGCGUUGUAUUAGCUAGUUGGUGAGGUAACGGCUCACCAAGGCGACGAUACAUAGCCGACCUGAGAGGGGGAUCGGCCACACUGGGACUGGGACACGGCCCAGACUCCUACGGGAGGCAGCAGUAGGGAAUCUUCGGCAAUGGACGGAAGUCUGACCGAGCAACGCCGCGUGAGUGAAGAAGGUUUUCGGAUCGUAAAGCUCUGUUGUAAGAGAAGAACGAGUGUGAGAGUGGAAAGUUCACACUGUGACGGUAUCUUACCAGAAAGGGACGGCUAACUACGUG